rnacentral:rRNA from 1 species
UACGGAGGGUGCAAGCGUUAUCCGGAAUCAUUGGGUUUAAAGGGUCCGCAGGCGGACAUAUAAGUCAGUGGUGAAAGCCUACAGCUUAACUGUAGAACUGCCAUUGAUACUGUAUGUCUUGAAUUCGGUCGAAGUGGGCGGAAUAUGACAUGUAGCGGUGAAAUGCUUAGAUAUGUCAUAGAACACCGAUAGCGAAGGCAGCUCACUAGGCCUGGAUUGACGCUCAUGGACGAAAGCGUGGGGAGCAAACAGG